CCAGGCCCUUCCUUCCCUAACCCUAAAGGCCUGAUCUGGAAGAAAACAAACAUGCUUUGGAGUCCCCACAACACAAAAAGAACCCUGGAGCGUAGAAGGCUCCCUAUAGGAGUAGAGAUUAGACAUGACCUGAUGAGAACUAUGGGUGCUCCCCAGAGAUGGUGCCACAUGUGUGCAGAACUUCCCAAGCCAACAUCCACCAAGUAGGAUUCACUGGAUGUACUGUUCCAUCUGGAAGACAAGAUUGGUGCCACCUAAGAGGGUUCUUACUGCAAAGAAUUUGAGGACAUCCUCCUCCACUGGCAGUAUAUCAAGUGU